rnacentral:pre_miRNA from 1 species
GUGUGUGUAGGCUCACAUCUAUGUGAGCCUACAUGUGGAUUCCUAUAUCUGCAGGCUGGUUGGAUGGUUGUCAUGCAU